rnacentral:lncRNA from 1 species
GGUGCUGCUAACCACUGGAAGCUGAAGUCCAGAGGCUCUAUUCAGUCAAGGGGUGAUGAACUCUCUUUGGGUCUGGAGACAGGCUGGAACUGGGAUGAGAUAUGGAGACCCUGCCAUUUACGACAACGUGGAUGUAUCUGCAGGACAUUAAGACAAGUGCAAUAAGCAAGACACGGAAAGAAAAUAUAGCAUGGUCUCUCUUAUAUGUGGAAUUUUAAAAAUUAACUCUGAAUACUUUGGAUUAAACUGAUGCAGCAGUCAUCCAAGAGAUGUCCACAUAUGUACUCCUGUUAAUGUUAGUUCCUUUCAUCCAAGCCAUCAGAGGUUCUCCCUGGAUCUCAUUUUUGGGCUCUGAAAAAUCAAAUCUGUCCAUGGCAGUGCUAGCAUACUGUCUAUUAGAUUAAAUGAAGCUGUAAGCAUCUUUGAAGUACAAAUGAUACUUGGAAAGUAAAUGAAACUGGGAAUACUUGCAAGUAAAAUAUGGGAAGUCAAAGAGAUUAAAGGAUGAGAACCAGAAAUUGCUUAUGGCCAGUGUCCUGAGUAAGCCUCAGAAUCGCAUCCUAGAAGCAUCAAGUUCUUGUGUUACCCUAUGGAUCUAAAAAACGACUUCCUUAGUUUGAUGUAGUCUGCAGACAUCUCAUCAUCACAAAAACUUGAAAGCACUUACAGCACUAAGAAACUACCUUUGCAGAUUGUAAAAAAAGAUAGAAUCCUACUUAGUGUUUUGAUCACACCUGCCUAUUUCCCCAAGGUUUUACUGCAGGGUUAAAGAAUGAAUAAGCAUCUAGUUAUAUUUAAUAAACUCCAUGCCUUAUGGCUGAUUCUAAAGGCACAUGGCUUUGU